rnacentral:rRNA from 1 species
UACGUAGGGUGCGAGCGUUGUCCGGAAUUAUUGGGCGUAAAGAGCUCGUAGGCGGUCUGUCGCGUCGGAUGUGAAAAUCCAGGGCUCAACCCUGGACCUGCAUUCGAUACGGGCAGACUAGAGUUCGGCAGGGGAGACUGGAAUUCCUGGUGUAGCGGUGAAAUGCGCAGAUAUCGGGAGGAACACCGGUGGCGAAGGCGGUUCUCUGGGCCUUACCUGACGCUGAGGAGCGAAAGCGUGGGGAGCGAACAGG